GACGAACGCUGGCGGCGUGCUUAACACAUGCAAGUCGAACGGAAAGACCCGGCGUUUGUUGGUUGCUCGAGUGGCGAACGGGUGAGUGACACGUGUGUAACAUGCCCCUGAAUGUGGGAUAACUCCAGGGAACUGGGGCGCAUACCGCAGAUGAGCUCCUGAUGCAUGUGGGUGGUUGGUGAGAGUCGGCGUUGGUGGAUGGAAUCGCGGCGUAUCAGCUUGUUGGUAAGGUAGGUGCUUACCAAGGCUUCCAUGGGUAGCCGACCUGAGAGGGGGAUCGGCCACACUGGAACGGAGACACGGUCCAGACUCCUACGGGAGGCAGCAGUAGGGAAUCUUCCGCAAAGGGCGAAAGCUUGACGGAGCAACGCCGCGUGAGGGAUGAAGGUCUUCGGAUCGUAAAACUCUGUUAUUAGGGAAGAACAAAUGUGUAAGUAACUAUGCACGUCUUGACGGUACCUAAUCAGAAAGCCACGGCUAACUACGUG
rnacentral:rRNA from 1 species